ACGUUUAAACACCGGUUGCCAUACGACCACCGAAGUUAAGCAACGUCGGGCCUGGUCAGUACUUAUAUUGGUGACAGUUUCGGAAUAUCAAAUGCUACA